UGCCCAUAGCGGCAUUCUUUUUAUCUUUUAUAAAAUUCAUCAUUUCAUGGCUUCUUGACUUUAAGUUGAGAUUUUACCCGAACCCAUUUCGAAUUCGAUUUGUUACCCCAUGGAAAAUCAUAUGUACUUUAUUUUUAGGGAGACAUGAUUACGCUCUAUUU
rnacentral:rRNA from 1 species